rnacentral:lncRNA from 1 species
AUGAGCAGCAAGAUGACACCAGGAGACCCAUCGGUUCACACACAGGCUAUCACUCACCUUUCUGCUUCCUCUACUGGGGGCCCAUCUCACCAACAUCUCCCCGUGUCAGGACACCCACGGAGUCCCGUUCUCUGUUACCUAUGGAGACACCGGGUUUACAGUGUCCAAGGCAAGGCAGCUUCUGCUAAUUUGCAUUCAGUUGCCUGUUUCCUGCUGUGCUCCAUCAAGGACUGGAUGAGACCAUCAGCCUGCCUUCCCGGUGCAGAGUGCUCUUGGUACCACCCUCCAGCAUCACUUCCCUCCACCGCUCACUCUGUUGGACAGGUGUGAUGCACUGAAAGCCUUCAGCCACCUCAAGGCCCUCUAUCUUCAGGACGGCUUAGUAGCUUCUAUGUGGACUGUUUCCUGCUGAGACCCCGUGCUCUGCUGUGUUAUUACUCAAUUGUGUGUGGUGAAGACAUUCUCCCUUCCUUUUGACAUUUCAGAAAUGCCAUUUGAUAUGAUAACUGACGUUGUCAUUUUUGCUAAAGCAAUUUACAAAAGGUAUGUUACUUUUCGAUUCCUGCUUUCUCCAGGGAUUGUCGCUUGCACAUUGGAGCGCUUUCUCUUCUCACAUGAAGACUGCUGCCUGCAACACUCUGUGAAAAUGAACGAUAACACUCUCAAAGUUUUUGAAAGGAUUUCUCUAGAAUAGAAUACACACAUAUAUUGAUGACUUCCAAAUAUUUAAAAUACGUAUUUUGCAAAAUUCAUUUACAAUGAAGGGAAAAAAAGUGAUUCAUGUAAUUCCCCCUCCCAAUUUUUGACCUAAUUCAUUUCUGGAUAAUGAUUUUGAACAGAAUCAUAAAGAUGGCGUAGCUUAAUCAAAGCUUGCAUAUUUAUUCCUGAAAAUUGAAUUUAUACCAACCAAUUAUCCUACAGAAGACAACGAGUCAUCCAUUUGAACUUUCUUUGUGAUUUCUAUCUCAAUGCUUCAAAGAGAAAUAACGCUCUUGCAGGAAUCCUUUCUUACCUUAGAAACACUAGGAUUCACUCAAUAUGAUGAUGCAUCCUGGCAAUUGAAAGUGUUUCCACCUCAGAAAUCAACUCCUCACAUUUGCUUAACCCUCUUCCUUGCACAGGCCAGAUGCCCAUCCUCCAGUUCCUACCCACUGGCUUUCUACUGGGACCUUCCUGUCCCUAAAAAUGCAGAUUGGGUAAGGAGUUACCAUAAGAGGAUUUGAGAACUCAGGGAAGACAUAGUUGUAAGUCAUUCACUCACAUGCAGAUCCAGACUAAACGUGAAGCCGUUCACUGACUAGGACUUUGUACAAUUGCAGUGAAUUAGACA